GAUCGAACCUAAAACCUCACAGUUCCUAGUCGGAUUUGUUUCCGCUGCACUACGACAGGAACUCCUGAGUCUAUUUAAAUUGUCUGGACUGUGCAGCCUCCAGAUGUUGCCCCUUGGAAACUUUCCAUCAGGGGUUGAGAGGUAAUCUUUGUGUGCAUCUUGCUUCCCACUGGUUGUCCUUAACUGAUGCUCUGCAUUGAGUUAACGCUCUGCGUCUGUGCAGGCUUCAGUCCCGGAGCACUUCUGUUUUGGAUGAGAUGACUCUUGAGCCUUCCAUUUUGCUUAGCCGUAAAAAAAAAAAAAAAAAAAAAAAAAAAUGGUAAAAUGGAUUUCCAUCCGUUCAUUAGCAUACUGAUCCAACUAUAUCUUACCCAAAAGAAAUUUCUUGGAAUGAAAAAUAAGAACAAGUGUUAAAGAUAGCUCAGUCUUUCCUCUUCCGUGGGUCUCCAUGGAGCCUCUACUAUACUUGCGAUAUUGGCGUGUAAAAAUCAGACAGAUGUGAGAAAGAGGACCUGAUGCGCAGAGUUAAUCCAUGAGUCCUCUUCAGAUCUCUUUGAGGAAAGAACCCUUAAUGCAAUAAAAAUGGCAUCUUUGAGGAAAAGCAGAUUAUCUUGUCUGAUAAGGCUGCCUUUUUCUCAUUAUGUUAAUGUUGCUCUGAUAAUCCAUUUUAAAGUGUUUUUAAUUUAAAAGAAAAAAUCCCAAGAGAAGGCUUAGGCCGAAAAACAGGGCGUGAUAAUGCUUGGAAAGUGCAGUGGAGGAACUACCUGAAAAUCCACAUGACAGCACAGAGGGUCUCACUGUAAAGGUGAAAUUGGGUCCAAAUUUAGUGAAAAGAAAGAUUCAGCCCCUUUCUCCUUUCUUCCUAUAAUUCAGUCUAAGUGGUAAUUGAUAGAGCAUGUUUAAAUUUCCAACAAAUUUCUUGGAAAGAAGGGCAGUGACUAUUAAAGUGUCUAAAAUUCAAACUAGGUGUGGGGAUCGAACCCGCAACCUCAUGGUUCCUAGUCGGAUUCAUUAACCACUGAGCCAUGAUGGGAACCCCAGAAAUUGAAUUAUUUUUGAAAUAAAUUUUCUUUAAAAAUUGAUAAAUUAUUCCAGUUAGCAAAGUGGUUAAUAUUGGUGGCUUUUAGGCUGGAGUUUUCUUUUUUCUUUCUUUUUUUUUUUUUUAAGGCCAAACCCGCAGCAUGUGGAAGUUCCUAGGCUAGGGGUCGGAUCGGAGCUGUAGCUGCUGGUCUACACCACAGCCACAGCCACAGCCACAGCCCUAGCCAGCACCACAGCUCACAGCAACACUGGAUCCUUAACCCACAUAACGUGGCCAGGAAUCAAACCUGCAUCCUCAUGAAUACUAGUCACAUUUCCGUAGAGCCACAAUGGGAACUCUUGGAGUUUUCAAUUAGGAUAGCUUUUAGGCCAGGAGCCUGCCAGAUGAAUAAGAAAGGGUAAGAGCUUCUCCCCCAAAUUGACUGGGGCUGUGGCCAAAAUGUAACAGGAUAUGCCUUUGGUUCAUGCCCUCUUGCAAAAAUGUCUCUACAGACAGAACUUUAGGAAAACUUUUUUUCCAUUCUUCUUUUUAAAUUGUCCCCUUGGAGGCUUCUGAGAUGCUUAAUUCAGUGGUCCCCAAAUUUGCUGCCCAUUGGAAUCAUCUAGGCAUGUUUAAAAGCUAAGUUCUGGCUCCCAUCUCCCGAUAUUGUAAUUUACCAGGUAUGAGCUGCAGCUCAGGCAUGGGGAGUGGUUUUGUUCAUCCUUUUUUUUUCUUUUCUUUUUUUGCCAAACCCACAACCUACAGAGGUCCUUGGGCCAGGGAUGAAACCCAUACCACAGCAGCAACCCGAGAUGUUGCAGUGAUAGUGCCAGGUUCUUAACCUGCUGUACCACAAGGAAACUC
rnacentral:lncRNA from 1 species